AUGAUGAAGAUGGAGCGGCAGCAGCAGCAGCCGCCGGCGCCGAGCGCGGCCGCCGGGUCGGCGGUGACCGUGGCGGUGCCGGGCGCCGGAUGCGAAGGGGAGAAGAAGGCGCCGGCGAUCAACUCGGACCUGUGGCACGCCUGCGCCGGCCCGCUGGUGCAGCUCCCGCCGGCAGGCAGCCUCGUCGUCUACUUCCCACAGGGCCACAGCGAGCAGGUUGCAGCUUCUAUGCAGAAGGAUGUUGAUGCCCAUGUUCCAAACUACCCAAACCUUCCAUCCAAGUUGAUCUGCCUACUGCACAAUAUCACUUUACAUGCUGACCUAGAAACAGAUGAAGUUUAUGCACAAAUGACUCUUCAGCCAGUUACUUCAUAUGGAAAGGAGGCGCUGCAGCUAUCAGAGCUAGCUCUCAAACAAGCAAGGCCACAGAAUGAGUUCUUCUGUAAGACACUGACUGCUAGCGAUACAAGUACGCACGGAGGCUUCUCUGUACCUCGCCGAGCUGCAGAGAAGAUAUUUCCACCUCUUGACUUCUCAAUGCAACCACCCGCUCAAGAGAUACAGGCUAGGGAUUUGCAUGACAACGUGUGGACAUUCCGUCACAUAUAUAGGGGUCAGCCAAAAAGACAUCUCCUUACGACUGGCUGGAGUCUCUUUGUGAGCGGGAAGAGGUUAUUUGCUGGAGACUCUGUCAUUUUCGUUAGGGACGAAAGGCAGCAACUUCUACUAGGAAUCAGGCGUGCUAACCGACAACCGACUAACAUAUCAUCAUCUGUCCUUUCAAGUGACAGCAUGCAUAUAGGGAUUCUUGCUGCAGCAGCCCAUGCUGCUGCCAACAAUAGCCCAUUUACCAUCUUUUAUAACCCCAGGGCCAGCCCUACUGAAUUUGUUAUCCCAUUCGCUAAGUAUCAGAAGGCUGUCUAUGGUAAUCAAUUAUCGUUAGGUAUGCGCUUCCGCAUGAUGUUUGAAACUGAGGAAUUAGGAACGAGAAGGUACAUGGGCACAAUAACUGGCAUAAAUGAUUUAGAUCCUGUAAGAUGGAAGAAUUCUCAGUGGCGCAAUUUACAGGUUGGUUGGGAUGAAUCUGCAGCAGGUGAAAGAAGGAACCGAGUUUCAAUCUGGGAGAUUGAACCGGUCACUGCUCCAUUUUUCAUAUGUCCGCCUCCGUUUUUUGGUGCAAAGCGUCCCAGACAACUAGAUGACGAGUCCUCGGAAAUGGAGAAUCUCUUAAAGAGGGCUAUGCCUUGGCUGGGUGAAGAGAUAUGCAUAAAGGACCCUCAGACGCAAAAUACCAUAAUGCCUGGUCUGAGCUUGGUUCAGUGGAUGAACAUGAAUAUGCAGCAGAGCUCCUCGUUUGCAAAUACAGCCAUGCAGUCCGAGUACCUGCGGUCAAUAACCAACCCCAGUAUGCAAAAUAUUGGUUCCGGUGAUCUGUCGAGGCAGUUGUGCUUGCAGAACCAGCUUCUGCAACAGAACAACAUGCAGUUUAAUACGCCCAAACUUCCUCAGCAAAUGCAGCCGAACAAUGAGUUGUCCAAGGCAGCCCUUCCAUUGAACCAGAAUGGUGCGAGCAUCAAACCAGAAGAACAAACUCAAGAUGCCAGCAACUUCCAGAGGCAACAACAGUCCAUGAACUAUGCCCUUCCUUUGAGCCAAGCUCAAACCAGUCUUGCCCAAGCUCAGGUCCUUAUACAGAGUCAGAUGCAACAGCAGCAGCAGCAGCCACAUAUAUCUCAAAAUCAGUUGCCAGCCGUCAGCCAGCCGCUCCUGUCCCAUCAGCAGCAGCAACAUCAUCAUCAUCAGCAGCAACAGCAACAUCAACAACAAGAACAACAACAUCAACAGCAGCAGCAGCAGCAAAAAUUUCUACAGCAGCAGCAGCUUUUACUUCAGCAACAACAAUUGCAACAACAUCAACAUCAGUUACAACAACAGCAACAGCAGCAACUCGGUAAGAUGCCUGCGCAGCUACCAAAUCUGUCAAAUCAGCAGCUGCAAUUAUCGGAUCAGCAGCUUCAGCUUCAACUCCUGCAAAAGCUACAGCAACAGCAGCAGUCAUUGCUGUCCCAACCUGGAGUUACCCUUGCGCAAUUACCUCUGAUCCAAGAACAGCAAAAGUUACUUAUGGAUAUGCAGCAGCAGCUGUCAAGCUCCCAUUCACUUUCCCAACAGCAGAUGAUGCCUCAACAAAGCACAAAAAUUCCAUCACAGGUAGCAUCACUGCCACCACCCAUGCAGCCAGAUACUACACACCAGAAGCUUCCACAGAAGCAAGCUCUGCCUGCAGACACCUUAGAAGCUGCCAUUCCUACGACCACAUCACAUAAAUUCAGUUCAGCAAAUGGAAGCCCUUUGAGGAUGCCUGGUGCUACACAUUCUGUAGUUACGGAAGAAAUCCCUUCUUGCUCAACAUCCCCUUCCACUGCUAAUGGUAAUCAUCUUCUACAACCAGUCCCUGGUAGGGACCAGUACUCCAGCAUGAUCAACACGGAGAAGGCACCUCACUCAACUGCUCCUAUGUCAGUUCCAAGCUCCCUUGAUGCUGUCACCGGAGCUCAGAGAAUGACAAAGGAAUUGCCAAAGUUGAAUUCCAAUGUAAAGCAAAAUAUGAUGCCUUCAAAAUUACCGAAUGGAGGAGCUGGUCCCCAAAAUUUUGCGAACAACGCACCCCCGACAGACUAUCUAGAAACAGCUUCUUCAGCAACUUCAGUUUGGCUUUCCCAGGCUGAUGGACUCCUACAUCCAAAUUUCCCCAUGACCAACUUUAGUCAGCAGCAGCUGUUCAAAGAUGCACCUCCAGAUACCGAAAUUCCUGCUGAAAUUCCAAGCAAUAAUGCAUUGUUUGGAAUUAGCAAUGAUGGGCACGUGGGCUUCCCUAUGGUAACUGAUGACUUCCUGACGAAUGGGAUUGAUGCUGUCAAGUAUGAAAAUCAUAUCUCUACAGACAUUGAUAACAACUAUAGAAUACCAAAGGAUGCCCAGCAAGAGAUAUCAUCCUCCAUGGUUUCACAGUCAUUUGGUGCGUCAGACAUGGCGUUUAAUUCAAUUGACUCUGGAAUCAACGAUGGUGCCUUCUUGAACAAAAGUUCUUGGCCACCUGCUCCUCCAGUAAAGAGGAUGAGGACGUUUACGAAGGUCUAUAAACGUGGAGCUGUGGGCCGGUCUAUUGACAUUAGUCAGUACGCUGGAUAUGAGGAACUAAAGCAUGCACUGGCUCGAAUGUUUAGCAUAGAGGGGCAACUUGAGGAACGACAGAGGAUUGGCUGGAAACUUGUCUACAGAGAUCACGAGGAUGAUAUCCUGCUUCUUGGCGAUGAUCCUUGGGAGGAGUUUGUGAACUGCGUGAAGUGCAUCAGGAUCCUUUCGCCUCAGGAAGUGCAGCAGAUGAGCUUGGACGGCGAUCUGGGGAGCAGUGUUGUUCCCAACCAGGCAUGCAGCAGUUCGGAGGGUGGGGGCAAUGCCUGGAGGGCUCGCUGUGACCAGAACUCCGGCAACCCUUCCACCGGUUCAUAUGACCAGUUUGAAUGA
rnacentral:rRNA from 1 species